GAUGAACGCUGGCGGCGUGCUUAACACAUGCAAGUCGAACGGAAAGGCUCCUGCUUGCAGGGGCACUCGAGUGGCGAACGGGUGAGUAACACGUGGGUGAUCUGCCCUGCACUUCGGGAUAAGCCUGGGAAACUGGGUCUAAUACCGGAUAGGACCAUCGUUUAGUGUCGGUGGUGGAAAGUUUUUUCGGUGUGGGAUGAGCUCGCGGCCUAUCAGCUUGUUGGUGGGGUAAUGGCCUACCAAGGCGUCGAUGGGUAGCCGGCCUGAGAGGGUGUACGGCCACAUUGGGACUGAGAUACGGCCCAGACUCCUACGGGAGGCAGCAGUGGGGAAUAUUGCACAAUGGGCGCAAGCCUGAUGCAGCGACGCCGCGUGGGGGAUGACGGCCUUCGGGUUGUAAACUCCUUUCGCCAGGGACGAAGCGAAAGUGACGGUACCUGGAUAAGAAGCACCGGCUAACUACGUG
rnacentral:rRNA from 1 species